rnacentral:lncRNA from 1 species
GUGGUAUUAAUCUCCUUAGAGGAUUCAACAUGUUGAUAUUUAGAUCUAAGAAAAGGAAUUUAAUUAAUGCUAACCACAAUACUUGAAUGAUGUUUGGAAAUUGAAGAUAAAAUUGUGGUAAUGAGGAUGAAGAGGUUUGGUGAACAACCUAGAUUCAUUCAAUUUUUCAGAAUGGAACACAUGAAUGAAGAAGAACACCUUGUAAGCUAUUGGAAGUUUACAGUUCCGAUGCAUCAUUUCUCUAUGUGAUAACGACCUUGGAAACUUUCCUCCAACAAUUGUUUUCUCUCGAUUCCACCUAGAAACCCACUAUAUCCACCGGUAUACACCUUUGCAGAUAAGGAAACGAAGAUUAGAAAGAAAUGAAGAACAAAAUCAUAUUAGAACAAAGGAAAACUAUACUUACUUCUGUGAGUUGAGAAGAAAAGGAAGCUUCAUCAUCAUAAUAAGUAUUGAUUACCCACAACAAAAGGAAAAAGAAGCUCAGGUUAUCAGAAGCUCCCAGCGGCGAUAUAGAGGGAGAUGAUCAGGAGCUCAAAAUGGAAAACCCUACUUCUUAGUGCUGAUAUAUAAAAGGAGGUGGAUCCUUUGGACUGGGCCUAUUUUUUGUUUUCUAUUUUCGUUAUUUUCUUUUCCUUUUGGGUUCACUUGGCCCAUUUUGUACAUAAUUGAGAUAUAAAUAAUAGAGAAAAUUACUUAAUUACACGACUUAAGCUAACAUAAUAUCUAAAGUCCCUAUCAUUUGAAUUAAUUACAAAAAUUCCUUUUUUUCUUCUCUCUUAACAUUCGGAUAUAUCACUCCACCUCUAUUAGAUAUAUUACAACUUCGUUUGUUUACAAUGUAUUGAUACAAAUGUUAUUGUUGAUUAUAACUGUCAAUAUGGGUUGACCUACUCCAUCUGGG